GAGUGAGGGACAAGUCAUGCACUCAAGGUUUGUGGAUCUACGAGAUCCUCAUACACUUCAAGGGGUAGAUCAGCAUUCGGUUCCUCACUAUCUUCCUCAUCUUGGGGGAGGGGGGCAUGGAAAGAGUGAGUUUCAUAUAUUCAGUAAGAAAAACAGUAUUUAAAUAACAUCGUAAGAUUUUAAAAGUGAAUAAUUAUGUCAUUGAAACUUAUGAU
rnacentral:lncRNA from 1 species